rnacentral:rRNA from 2 species
GUCACACCAUGGGAGUGGGUUGCAAAAGAAGUAGGUAGCUUAACCUUCGGGAGGGCGCUUACCACUUUGUGAUUCAUGACUGGGGUGAAGUCGUAACAAGGUAACCGUAGGGGAACCUGCGGUUGGAUCACCUCCUUACCUUAAAGAAGC